rnacentral:rRNA from 1 species
AUUGAACGCUGGCGGCAGGCCUAACACAUGCAAGUCGAGCGGUAGAGAGAAGCUUGCUUCUCUUGAGAGCGGCGGACGGGUGAGUAAUGCCUAGGAAUCUGCCUGGUAGUGGGGGAUAACGUUCGGAAACGGACGCUAAUACCGCAUACGUCCUACGGGAGAAAGCAGGGGACCUUCGGGCCUUGCGCUAUCAGAUGAGCCUAGGUCGGAUUAGCUAGUUGGUGGGGUAAUGGCUCACCAAGGCGACGAUCCGUAACUGGUCUGAGAGGAUGAUCAGUCACACUGGAACUGAGACACGGUCCAGACUCCUACGGGGGGCAGCAGGGGGGAAUUUUGGAAAAGGGGCGAAAGCCUGAUCCAGCCAUGCCGGGGGGGUGAAGAAGGUCUUCGGAUUGUAAAGCACUUUAAGGUGGGAGGAAGGGCAGUAAAUUAAUACUUGGCUGUUUUGACGUUACCGACAGAAUAAGCACCGGCUAACUCUGG